rnacentral:rRNA from 1 species
GACGAACGCUGGCGGCGUGCCUAACACAUGCAAGUCGAACGGAGAUUGCAGCAAUGUAAUCUUAGUGGCGAACGGGUGAGUAACGCGUAGACAACCUGCCUCAAAGCUGGGGAUAACACCGCGAAAGUGGUGCUAAUACCGAAUAACCUGAAUUUUGCGCAUGCAAAAUACAGCAAAGACGGCCUCUGAAAAUGCUGUCGCUAUGAGAAGGGUCUGCGUCCUAUUAGCUAGUUGGUGAGGUAACGGCCCACCAAGGCUUCGAUGGGUAGCUGGUCUGAGAGGACGACCAGCCACAUUGGGACUGAGAUACGGCCCAGACUCCUACGGGAGGCAGCAGUGGGGAAUCUUGGCCAAUGGACGAAAGUCUGAUGGUGCGACGCCGCGUGAGGGAUGAAGGUCUUCGGAUUGUAAACCUCUGUCACCGGGGAAGAAACGCUUCGAGCUAAUAGUUCAAAGCCUGACUUAACCCGGAGAGGAAGCAGUGGCUAACUCUGUGCCAGCCGCCGCGGUAA